rnacentral:rRNA from 1 species
UACGUAGGCAGCGAGCGUUGUUCGGAAUUACUGGGCGUAAAGAGUGUGUAGGCGGUGUUCCCAGUCUGUUGUGAAAUCUCCCGGCUUAACUGGGAGGGUGCAGCGGAAACUAGAAUGCUAGAGGGUGGGAGAGGUAAGCGGAAUUCCUGGUGUAGCGGUGAAAUGCGUAGAUAUCGGGAGGAACACCUGUGGUGUAGACAGCUUACUGGACCACUUCUGACGCUGAGACACGAAAGCGUGGGUAGCAAACAGG